UGCAAAAAUGGCAUCAGGAGCAAAGAUGAAAAUUGAUAUGAAACAUGGUUUUAUGAAAUCUAUAAUAAAGAAUCAAGUGGAUAGGGAUAACUAUGAUAAAGAAGUCAAACAAAAAUCUGUACAACCUGAUGAACGGCCAAAGGCAAAGCACUAUGGUCACCACCAUCAGAACAGACAGAAACGACCAGAAAGACCAACUUACAUACCUCCAAGUCGCUUGAAGAAUAACCAAGAUGAUGAAGAAGUAGUGGAACAUAGGCCUAGCCUUGAAAAUGGUCAAAGUCAUCCGCCAGCGAGAGAGGAACAUGAAGAAAGGACAGAGUUAUUCAAAUUAGAAUACGAGGAUCAGAGCGGGGAAAUAUUUGAUCUAGUCAUACAUCAGGAAGACGACCCUCUCCUGCUUGCCAGGCGAUUUGGCCGACAGCGAGGUUUAUCUCCUCCACUGAUCAAGGCAUUAGGCAAACGACUCCAACAGGAGAUAGACUUGAGACUUUCACAAAGUGAUAAUAAUUCUUGAUGAUGGAACAAAUUUAUUAAGUUUUACAUAUGUUUAAGGAUUUGCAAUGGAUCAUCAGCAUGUGGUGAAGUUUUUAGCCAUUGAUGUCACAAUCAUCAACUGAGAAUGCAUGGUUUAUCAAUUAGAAAAGGUGAAGCCUACACUGGCGAAUAGUCUCACAAGAAUAUUGCAAUUACAGUCAGAACACCAAGGUGGCAACGCAUGUUGAUAGUUGACUCGGCUGAAAGCUUGUGAUUAGGACCAUGGUUCUACUCUUCCCUUUGAAUAGUGUGUUGGUCAUUUUACAAUGUCUUGUGCCACAUUCUAGUUAUUGCACAGUCGACUUCGGAUGAAGGUUGAGAAGAACGUUUUGUUUUUAAAACUAUGCAACGAAUACAUGUCAUAUCAUUUUGUUUUGAGAAAUAUUUUAAUGUAUGCAAUAGUUUAUUUGUUGAGUAUAGGCUUUGUCAACAUGCUUAGAUAGUUAUGUCGAAGUCACAUAGUUUUAUCAAACGGUGUGGUUGCUUUGUAUUGUGUCACAAGUCUGCUUUUUGUCUUGAUAUUGUAUAAAUGGUAAAUAGCAUAGAUGUGCACACUGAUGGGAAUUUUUUACUCCACAUUCAUAGGCCAGGAAUGUGAUUGCAAUUAUAUAGAAAUAAUAGCAAUAGAUUUUCACAAUUUAAGGCAAUUUACUGUGUAUUUUGGGCCAGUGUACAGCACAAUGAGUUUUUUGCCUGCUAAGUAUGCGGCCUUAAAACUGUCUCUGUAAGAGCCAGAGGUCAUCUGUCAGAAAAUGGUUUCGAAGAAGAAAUCAACUUCCCUUCAGUUCGAAUUGUAGAACUUUAUUUCAUGUUUAUUUAUAAAUUGUUUUGUUUUUAGCUCAGCUGAAAAGCUGAGCUAUUCAUAUGAGUAAAUGGUAGAAUGAGUGUCCGUCUGUCUGUCUGUCUGUCUGUCUGUCUGUCUGUCUGUCUGUCUGUCUGUCUGUCCGUUAAACAGGCACGUUUCAAAACUAUGGCGGAUAGGCGAUAGAUUUUCCCUCUGAGGCGUUGAGACCCUUCAGGACUCCUGAAUAGACCAAAUGUGGGUCCGGCAGGAUGAGCGGUUUGGCCACUAGGUGGCACCGAGCGAAAUUUUCCAAAAACUUUUCCAGCAGCUGAUUUCUCAGUUGGGGAUCAUGAAUCAAAUCUAAUUUUAUAGAGCAAAGCUUUCUCUUUCAUUAUCAAUAGGCGUAGUUCAUGAAUUUCUCACCAGGUGGUGUUACUGGCGCAAUUUAGUGAGCACCCUCCAAGAAGAGCAUUUUAAAUUUCGCGCGAGUUAUCCCACGUCCAAUCACACGUGCAGCGAACGUCACGUCUCGAGUCUGCGCAGUUCAGACGUAAGGAGACCAUGCUAUGGAAUAGAUCGCGUUCUGUCAAUUCAGAGGACAGGAAUGAUCUGCAGCUGCAUUUGAACAUAUUUGGUGACCACAUCUCAAAGAUGACCAAGAGAGAGGAUCGAGCUAUGACUUUGCACAUCCCAUCGACUUCGGUGUUCACCAGUGCAAUCAUCAGAAGAGCCAGGCAAUUCUAGUAUUCAAGUAUUUCAUUCUGUAAUACUUACCUCAAAAUUUACUAAAUAAAGAAAACCACAUGUGGCAGUUGGUUAAAAAAAUCAAGUCUAUCUGUUUAAAGUUUUUACUUGCUAUCAUUAUUAUCAACAUUUCAAUGGUGGCAUUCUGCUAAGGUUUGUUAAGAGUUUCACUUGACUUAAGCAGGGUGUACACUAGUAAAAUAUUAGCAACAUUUUACCAACAUUUUACCAACAUUUUACCAACAUUUUACCAACAUUUUUACAACAAUUUUGCAACAAGCCCUUCAAGGCCCUGUGUUCACUAGCAACAAAUUAGCAACAUUUUUACAACAUGUUGGUAAAUUGUUGCAAACUUUUUAGUGGGAACAAAGGGAAAUAGGUAUUUUGGAGGGAAAAUGGAUGAUUCCAAGGAGAGAAGAUGUGUUUUGAGUGCUUCUGCAGCAAUUUUAGCUGUCAUUGUUGAGAGACGGAAGAGGCGGCGAAAUAACCAAAGAGAAUAUGGACCAGGCCCUGGAUCAAAAUGAGGGUGGAUGAUGGGGCAUACCACUGCCUGUUAAGGCCGCGUAUCCAUAGGGUAUGCCCUUGUGUAGUGUGGCGUUAUGGCGUAACAGCCUUGUGACCUGGCACUAUAGCUGCGCUUACACCACGAUAUAUUGGUGGACCAAUUGCACUUGCACCACCACAUUGCCGCGACAAAUUGGUUCGGCAAUCCAUUGCCGAUACAAAUUGCCGAGCGAAUUUGUCCCACCAAGCUUGAUGGUCCAAAUCGCCCGGCUUGUUAAAAGCUCGGCUUUGUCGUGGUGUACGCGCAAAUGGAUCGGCAAUUAGCUAGUUAGAUGGUUCGGCUCCAGGCGGCGCUUUCAAAAUGGCGCUUUCUGCCAAGGCUUUCUGCGUUCUGCUUAUUGUUUGCGCGCCAUCUGUAGCCGGAUUUUAUAACUAGCUGCAGCGCUGGUGUAAGCGCUUGGUGGAUUUUCGAUGGUGCGGCAUUGGUUCCCGAACCAAGAUUGGUGGUCCAUUUUCAGGUGGUGUAAGUGCGGCUUAUGCCCUGCGUCUCCAUUGGAUAUUCCUUUUUGGUCAUGUAGGCCUUUGUAGUCCUCAUUUCGCAGCAGUCAAUCGCGUUUAUCCGCACGCUGUCAUUAUUUCAGAAGACAAUUUCUUAUGAAUAUUGAAAAUGAAAAUACAAGUAACUUGUAUUUUCACUUGCAACAUCAAAUUGACAUGUACAUGUAUAUAAAACCUGACUUUUAAGCAACAAAUUACAGGUUCGUGCUUGUUAUGAUAAUCAUCAGUUUCGGGGUCCCAGAGUAGUUCCCGUUGAUGAACCUCUUGAAUUAAUUUCGCCUCAGACAUUGCUUCCGUGUUGUUCCCUCGCAAAAGAAUGGACAUGUUCAAUCCCAAUAUGGGCCUAUAUUCCCAAUCCACAGUGCAUAUAUGCCCGCAAUGUGACACGGCAUAACCUAUGGGAACGAUCAAUAACACCAACGAAGGUUCAUUGUCCGUGUGGCGCGCCAGGCGGUAAAAAGGGAAUGUUGUGCAGGGCACGGAACAGCCUAUGGAUACGCAGCCGAAAGGAGUUGCGGCUGACUGACAAGCCGUCAUACAAAAACUUCUAGAAAAGGUUUCAUCACCCUACGAAGCAAGACACUCACUUGAGAGUUGCUAUACCUGCUUCUUGUUCAAGUCACAUGAACUCCGGUAGAUCACAUGACACAAAUCCUAUUUCUGAUUGGCUGAAGAGUUUGCAACAUUUUUACAACAUGCAACAAAGAAUUGCAUUGCAUUUAAUUUGCAACAAUUUUACAACAUGUUGUAAGACGCGUUUUGCUCUGUACACACUACGCAACAUUUUUGCAACAUUUGUUGCAACUGGAAAUGUAAAAAUGUUGCUAAUAUUUUACUAGUGUACACAGGCCUUUAGGCAAUAAUGUUACCCUUUUAGUUAGGGAAACUGGUGCCUUCUGCAUUAGGUGGACCCCACUUACUCAUCUGUCAGACCGGCCUCACACCUCGGCAGUAGAGUUUAAGGUCCAGUCUGCGAGAUUUACCCAUUUCUACCCAGCCAAAAGCGGGUGAUUGGGCUAGUCUCUCCAUGUGAUUCAAUUUGCAUGGAUUCUUGUGUCCCGGUGCUGAAAGGAUCCCUCCACAAGGGCAGACUACAUCCGGUGGCACUGAAGUAUGGAAGAAAGACAGAAGACGACCAAUUUGCGAAAAGGAUCAUCAUCAUCAUCAUCAUGGUAACAGCUGAGGAUGAAUCAUGUUGCUGUGUGUAGAAUUGAUGGUCCAAUAUAGGUUAGGUUAUCUGUUUGCGCACACAUUGCAAGGGUGGAGCUUGCUUGAAGUAGAUUGCGCCAGUCUACCGCAAUUCACUGUUACACAUCCAGAAGCUAUUAUCCUUAGGCUUUGAGUCCUUAGUUUAGUAGAGUUUGACGAGUAAUGUAAUAUAUACGAACAACGCAGCAACAACUCAGCUGAGCGCCAGGCCCUUGGGCCUC